rnacentral:lncRNA from 1 species
AGCAUAUGGAGGUUCCCAGGCUAGGGGUCUAGUCGGAGCUAUAGCUGCUAGCCUACAUCACAGCCACAGCAACACCAGAUCCUUAACCCAGUGAGCAAGGCCAGGCCAUGUUUUUUAAUUUUUAUUUAGCUCUUUUUUAUGGCGUACCGAGCCAUAUGGAAGUUCCUGGGCCAGGGACUGAAUCCAAGCCACAGUUGGGACCUACCAUGCAGCUGUGGCAAUACCGGAUCAUUUAACCCACUGUGCCACCAGGGAUCAAGCCUGUGCCUCUGCAGGGACCUGAGCUGCUGCAGCUGGAUUCUUAACCCACUGAACCACAGCGGAAACUCCCUGAACAUAGUUUUUUUUUUUUUUCUUUUUUGGCCACCCCACAGCACAUAGGGUUCCUGGGCCAGGGUUCAGAUCUGAGCCCCAAUUGUAAAUUAUGCCACAGCUGUGGCAAUGCCAGGUCCUUUAACCCACUGUGCCAGGCUGGGGAUCGAACCUGCAUCCCAGUGCUCCAGAGACAUUGACAAUCCCAUUGCGCCACAGCGGGAACUCCUCUCUGAAGGUGUAUGCUUUUUUUAAAAGAUAUUUGCAUCAAAUGAUUUGAGGGACACCCCCUGCCCCCCGCCGAUUACCUUCCAGGAACUUUAUGCUUCUUCAGAAACUAGUUUGAAAGCUGCCCUUAGAAGUUCCCGUCAUGGCGCAGUGGAAACGAAUCUGACUAGGAACCAUGAGGUUGAGGGUUCAAUCCCUGGCCUUGCUCAGUGGCUUAAGGGUUCAGCGUUGCUGUGAGCUGUGGUGUAGGCUGGCAGCUAUAGCUCCGAUUCGACCCCUAGCCUGGGAACCUUCAUAUGCCACAGGUGUGGCCCUAAAAGGCAAAAUUAAAAAGAAAAGAAAGCUGUCCUUAAAGUGUUUUCUUCUGAACUCUAAGCUCCCAUCUGACCUCGCCAUUCAGCCCCUCCUCACCUCACUCAUCAGCCUGAACCUUGUCCAGCCUCGCUCCCACGUCCCUCUGACAGCAGCCAAGUCCCUCUGCUGAACCGCUCGGCACAGCCCUCUGUGCCGCUUACCUGUGCUUCAGCCGAAGUUUAGCGGCUCCUGACCAUGCUGCUUUCCGGUGCUGUGGAUCAGAGGUGAGGUGCUCCGGGCCAAAGGAGUCAGAGGCGCCAGUAUCCGCAGGGCCUGGGUCUGCAUACACAUCUCUGGCAAAAACAAGAAAACAGGAAGUCAAGCGUGAUGCUGUUCCCGGGCAGGUGCACAAAUACGUCCACAUGGGGAUGCGUGAGACUCAACCCCACAGCGAGAGCAGGCAGCGCAGCGGCGCGCGGAGGGCAAAGCUGGCCCCCCAACCAGGUGCUUUGCCCGGAGCAAGGUGGAUGCGCUACUCCGCAAGGUAGAUGCUGUGUUUCUGUGAAGCAAUAACGUGCACUUCUCAAUCUGAGGGGACCAGAUUUUCCCCACCAAAGGGAACGAAAGGUAUACUGCCUAUCAUGAAGCUAAACCCUCCUGGAAGUCAGUAUCCAUCGGCGAGUAAGUGAAAACCAGGGUCUCUAAAGCCACUGUCAAAGGAGGUGGCCCCCGAGACAAGCCCCCACUGAUUACACUGUCUCUCGUCUCCGUUUCCCAGUGUCACUGUAAAGAGCACCACCUCCGAGGGCGGCAGCCCUGGCUCUGUCCAGUGGGUGGGAGCUCAGAGGGGCACAGGCCAACUUUGAGCCCAAGCUAUUUCAGAUUGUUUAGAUUCCACUGCGCUGGAGGCAAGCCUUUUGUGUGUCCGUUGAAAUCCACCCUCCACCCUCACCCCCAGUCCCCAACAUCAUUCCCAUAAACUCUUUUCCUCUACACGCCCAGGGAGGCACAGAAAAAUGUUAAGCUCUGAGUGGUCCAUGUGUUCUGCCGCAGAAACAGAUGCAUUUCUUCUCCCUGGGAGAGCCUUGGCUCCUGAAUUUCCAAACUCCCUGACUGUACCUUCGAGGCCUCCUCUUAAUGGGACUGAAGACUUUGAAGUGGGUUUGCCGCGCUGGGUGACAGUGGUGUGUUUUCAAUGUCUGUCUCUGAGGAUCUUUCUAAGCCUCUGAGAGUUGAUGGGUAGCCCCUGCACCGUGUCCUUUGAGCAGGAGAAGGUGCAAAUGCCUUCUGUUUCUCAUCUGUAAAGGCCUGAGCUGAGAAGCAGUGGGAUUAUGAAUGGUGUUGAUGUCUUUGUAUUUCAGGACAAGGAGGGAGGAGACCAGGGAGUCAGCUGGGAGUAUCCCGUCUAAGGUCAAGUUUUCAUCUUUGCCUUAGUUUUACCUAAGCACCAUCACCGCCUUUGUUACAUUACUUUUCUCACCAAAUUUGGGAUUCCUGGCUUUGAAGAUAUUCAAUAUUCCUCUAGACUUGACAUCUGAAGACCUGGCUGCGGAGCUGUCACUUGUGAGCUGAAUGAUGCUGGGCAGGUAAAUGCCGAAAGCUUUAGGUUCCUCCAUGGGAACAUGAGAAAUAAGAGGCAGGGCACACCAUGUCAGGAGCCUGGCUCUAGGGUCUGCUGCUCUGAGUUGGAGUCCUGCCCCUGCCGGUGAACCAGCUCUGCGACCUGGUCCUCUCUGCACCUCCGUUCUCCCAUCUCUGAAAUGGGUGCAAAGGACCAAUGGCUUUCAUUGGGUUGCCGAGAAGCAUAAAUAAACUAAUUCAGGUAAAGUACUCAGAAUAGAGUCUGGCAUAUAUUCAGCACUCAGCAAACUGCCGCUAUUUAUAUGUAGCCUUCAGGGUUGCUAUCAAAUUUCUAGAUAAUGUCUAGUGACUCUCAAGCAUGCUGCCUGCACACGGGGUAAGUGCUUAAUGAACAAAUCAUUUUCAUGUUUGUCUUCAAUGGUACCUUCAUUUUAGAGCUUCUCUGAGCUCUCUUUUUUCACGUAAAACAGACACAAGUAAUCUACGCAGGAAAUAAUAGCAAGAGCCUUGUCCAGAGUUAACAUAUCAAAGCCUUUUGCAGAAUUCAUCAUGCGGUCUCCAAUUUCUCCUACAAUUCUCAGCAGCACCAA